rnacentral:rRNA from 1 species
GACGAACGCUGGCGGCGCGCCUAACACAUGCAAGUCGAACGGAGUCAAGAGGAGCUUGCCUUUCUUGACUUAGUGGCGAACGGGUGAGUAACGCGUGAGUAACCUGCCCUGGAGUGGGGGACAACAGUUGGAAACGACUGCUAAUACCGCAUAAGCCCACGGAUCCGCAUGGAUCUGCGGGAAAAGGAUUUAUUCGCUUCAGGAUGGACUCGCGUCCAAUUAGCUAGUUGGUGAGGUAACGGCACACCAAGGCGACGAUUGGUAGCCGGACUGAGAGGUUGAACGGCCGCAUUGGGACUGAGACACGGCCCAGACUCCUACGGGAGGCAGCAGUGGGGGAUAUUGCACGAUGGGGGAAAACCUGAUGAAGCGGCGCGGCGUGGAGGAAGAAGGUUUUCGGAUUGUAAACUCCUGUCGUAAGGGACGAUAAUGACGGUACCUAACAAGAAAGCACCGGCUAACUACGUG